rnacentral:rRNA from 1 species
AGACCCGAAACCCGGUGAUCUAGCCAUGGGCAGGUUGAAGGUUGGGUAACACUAACUGGAGGACCGAACCGACUAAUGUUGAAAAAUUAGCGGAUGACCUGUGGCUGGGGGUGAAAGGCCAAUCAAACCGGGAGAUAGCUGGUUCUCCCCGAAAGCUAUUUAGGUAGCGCCUCGUGAAUUCAUCUCCGGGGGUAGAGCACUGUUUCGGCUAGGGGGCCAUCCCGGCUUACCAACCCGAUGCAAACUGCGAAUACCGGAGAAUGUUAUCACGGGAGACACACGGCGGGUGCUAACGUCCGUCGUGAAGAGGGAAACAACCCAGACCGCCAGCUAAGGUCCCAAAGUCAUGGUUAAGUGGGAAACGAUGUGGGAAGGCCCAGACAGCCAGGAUGUUGGCUUAGAAGCAGCCAUCAUUUAAAGAAAGCGUAAUAGCUCACUGGUCGAGUCGGCCUGCGCGGAAGAUGUAACGGGGCUAAACCAUGCACCGAAGCUGCGGCAGCGAACGUAUCACCCAAGACAACUUUACGGAGUUGACGAUUGACGGAGCGAAGCGACGUCAAAGCGUUCAUUAAAGUCGAGUUGGCUUAGGGAUACGUUCGUUGGGUAGGGGAGCGUUCUGUAAGCCUGUGAAGGUGUGUCGUGAGGCAUGCUGGAGGUAUCAGAAGUGCGAAUGCUGACAUAAGUAACGAUAAAGCGGGUGAAAAGCCCGCUCGCCGGAAGACCAAGGGUUCCUGUCCAACGUUAAUCGGGGCAGGGUGAGUCGACCCCUAAGGCGAGGCCGAAAGGCGUAGUCGAUGGGAAACGGGUUAAUAUUCCCGUACUUGGUGUUACUGCGAAGGGGGGACGGAGAAGGCUAUGUUGGCCGGGCGACGGUUGUCCCGGUUUAAGCGUGUAGGUGUGUGUUCCAGGUAAAUCCGGUUCACUUUAACACUGAGGCGUGACGACGAGGCACUACGGUGCUGAAGCAACAAAUGCCCUGCUUCCAGGAAAAGCCUCUAAGCAUCAGGUAACACGAAAUCGUACCCCAAACCGACACAGGUGGUCAGGUAGAGAAUACCAAGGCGCUUGAGAGAACUCGGGUGAAGGAACUAGGCAAAAUGGUGCCGUAACUUCGGGAGAAGGCACGCUGA